rnacentral:lncRNA from 1 species
CAAAAAGGCACACAUGUACUGCUGUAACAACACUUGUCAGGCACAUUGUCAGAUGAGAUGCAGGAUAAGCAACCUGUGGCUGACCAAGAUGAGUCCAUCCUGAUGGGAGCAAUCACCCUAAGAACAGCUUCAGAGGUUGAAAUACCCAAAAGAAGAAAGCUUAUGUCACUCAUUAAAGAAAGACACUGAGUUAUGCACAGGUACUUGCCUUCCUGGUGCCUCCUGGAAAGAACAUGACCCCACCUUUGCUGGGGUGACUGAAUACAUGGUGCCUUUGUGACUCUGUCAUAUCAGCAAAGAUUGCUUCCUUUAAAGAAGCAGCUGCAUCGGAUGUGUAAGAGAAUUUCCUGUCAGGAGCCGGUCACUGUGUGCAGAAAAAUAAGUAAAGUGAGAAACUCUGAUUGUGGAAAGACUUUCUCUAACCCAGUCCCCACAAAAGCACACAGACUUCUCAGCCCAUGUACCGUGCCUGCCAAGCCAUUGGAAUCUGAAACUGUAGCUAGCGAGAGCUUGCGUGGCCACAUACCAAAGCUGAAGGCUACUCUGUGCCAUUCCUUGAGGAGCUUGAGUAUAGAAUCAGCCUUACUAAACAAGCUGUCUGUCCUUGCCUCCAGACUGACAAUGGCAACAAAGCCCCAGAAACUCAGAUAGGCGGUAUUCCUCUUCCCUUGUUCCAUUGGCUAAAAACUACAAGCGCCUCGGAUAUAAAAAGCUCCUAGAUGGAUUUUCACAUAAUGCAAUGCAGCUGGACCCAUAUUUGGCAGCUACUGGGUGGAAUAGAGGGUUUAACAGUAGGCCCUUGGCACUUUAUUCUCUUGAAGCUGUUAAAAUGAGCUCCAUAGAUUUGAGCAACAAGAUACAGUCACUGCUGUUUGGUACGGAAAACGUCCCGAUUUCCUUUCAUGUGAAAUCAGUGUCCCCCUGCAUGGCUGAGUCCUCCAGGACUUUUCCUGAGCACUGCGCUCCAUCGAGGUUUGCCUUAACAGAGGCCUUCCAGUGCUCAGCUCCAGCUCCCAAGUGGACCUUCUCUUUUUUCUUGUCCCACGGUUGCCCUGGGAUGGCCACAUUCAGAGAAGACACUGGCCUCAGUAGUCAGACACACACACACUCAGGCUCCUCUCCA